UACAACAGGUCCUUGAAUAAUUUCAUUUUGUUCAAUGUCGUUUUAUGAAAACGUAGAUGAGAAAAGAGAAUCUGUUCUCCGCUGGGGCUACUGUCUCUGUGCAAUUUGCAUAUUCUCCCCAUGUCUGUGUGGGUUUUCUUUGUUUGCUCUUGUUUCCUCCCACAUCCUAAAAAUAUGCACCUUAGUUUACUUGGUGUGUAUACAGUGUCCCAGCAUGAGUAAGUGUGAGUGUCUGGGUGAAUGCACCCUGUGAGGAAAUGACGUCCUGUCUAGGACUGGUACCCACCUUGCGUCCUGAGCUGCCUGGACGUCUUUAGCCACCUGAAAACCUGAACUGGAGUAAUGUGCAUUUCUGAUGAUUGACAGCAAGGAGUACAUAGUCUGCACCAAAAGAACACCUCCCCAUUGUUGCAGAAACCUCCUAUGAUCAUGCACUGGAAAAUCAAAUUGUGGAAGUUUAUGGAAAGAACAUAGGACAUAUUUUAACAGAGGUCUACAGGAAGGGAAAUCAUUAGUAUCUCUAUUGAAAGGCCCACGUGAUUAAGAGCUGAGGUAUCUGAGCAACAGCCAGCAAGGAACUGAGGCCUCCUGCCAAAAGCCUUACGGAGUCUCGCUCUUUCGCCCAGGCCGGACUGCAAUGUUGCUAUCUAUCGCCCAGGCUGGAGUGGAGUGGCACGAUCUCGGCUCACUGCAAACUCCGCCUCCCGGGUUCACGCCAUUCUCCUGCCUCAGCCUCCUGAGUAGCUGGGAUUACAGGAGCCCACCACCGCGACCAGCUAAUUUUUUGUAUUUUUAGUAGAGACGGGGUUUCACCGUGUUAGCCAAGAUGGUCUGGAUCUCCUGACCUCGUGAUCCGCCCGCCUCGGCCUCCCAAAGUGCUGGGAUUACAGGCGUGAGCCACCGCGCCAGGCCACUGACUCUUAAGCAGUUAUCGCAGGUCCAGGUUUUUUACCAUGUUGUCUUUCCUAAGGUUAGUAGCCCCACUCAAAUUAUCAGAUAUUCUGCUAGGAGCAACCACACUCUUCCUGGCUGCUUAUGGGUCCUAAAGGCUUCUGAUAGUUCUCUGCACCUUCAUUAGUCAGGCCUGAGUCCCCAAAGUAUUUUUUUCUUUCCUAACUGCCUUGUCUCUAUUUGUACUACCCUAGGGUCUGUGAUGCUUCCAACCCAGAUCACUUUUGUAUAAUUGGAGACAUUCUUUAAUUUUAUACUUAAAAUAGAUUUAUAAAGGCCAAUGAGUUUUCUUAAUUAAAGAGAAUUGAAUGGGUAGUAUUUAUGAGAAGAACUGCCAGUAUAGUCUGAAAAUACACAAUUGUAGCAAGUUGUUAUGUAUCUUAUAUUUAAAGCUUGAAAGAAGAUUUUUUUUCCCCCACUAAUGCUGUAAGGCCAGUGAGGGCAAUCAAGGGGUCAAGGGGGCUCAGGCCUUAGUAGUUACUUCAUGGAUCUUAACUGACAGAAGCUCCAUUGUGAUAAAUUGCAUAUGCAACUUUGGAGGUAGGGAGGAAAAGAAAAGAUGGUUGGCCACACAAUGAUAUUAACAUUUUGUCUAGAAGUACUAUAUAACAUUUCAGCUCACAUUUUAUUGGCCAUACAAAAUCACAUAGGGAUAGUUUAGUUAAAGUAGGAGGAAUGUUUCUCCCUUAUGAAUGAUAAUACUACAUAUUUGUGAAUAGUUGUAAUGGGUAGAAUAUUCUCCCUUUCUAUUAUAAAAACUUGUUUCCCGCUCAGGUAUAAUAUGCUUACGCCUCCCAAAGUAGGCAACCCAAAAGUCCAGCACAAUAGCCAUCAAGUCCUAUGUUUAGGCCUUUAUGAUAAUCUUAGACCUGGUCUCAGCCUUGAGAUAUAUGUACCAAGAAGACAAGUAAUAUACUCUCCACAAAUUCACGAAAGGAGGUAGUUUUGGGACAGAGGGAAGGAUUGGAACCAUACAGCAGCCCCUUUUCAUAGCACUAUUGAAAUACCACAAGAAAAAUAUUGGGAGGAGUUUCUAUAUCUCACAUCCUGGGAAUGGAGAAUGUUCUUAGAUUAGGCUGAGAUUUUGCUCCCGGAGAGUAGUUUCAGCCUGUCAUCAUCCAGUUUCUUUGUUUUCGUUUUAAUUAUCUUCUGUUAUCUUCUUGCAGGCUGAGCAGUCUUCUCAAGACUUUUCCUACACAUAGAAGACAGGGAAGUCACGGGGGGGCGGCUUUAAGUACUGAACAAUUGUUUAUUUUAACUUAUGAUUAUAAUUUCUCAUCUAGCAGUACAACUGUUUCAGGGACUUGAUGGGCUGCUUUUUUAUUUGACUCCCCUUCAUUGCAUGUGCUAAAAACCACAGCCACAAUUCUUUGGAGACAUGACUAAGUAUGAUGGACUGAAUGUGUCCCUCCCGCAAAAUGUGUAUGUUGAGAUCCUAAACUUGAACAUGAUGGUAUUUGGAAGUGGGUCCUUUGGAAGGUAAUUAGGUUAUGAGGUUGGAGCACUCAUGAAUGGGAUUAGCAUCCUUAUAAGAGAUACCAAGGGGGGCUUUUGCCCUCUUUUAGCCAUGUAAGGAUGUAAUGAGAAACAAGAGUCUGAAACAAAGAAGAGGACCGUCACCUGAACCCAGCCUCGUCAGCAUCUUGAUCUCUGACUUCCAGCCUCUAGAGCUGUGAGAAAUAAAUUUUUGUUGCUUAAAAGCCACCCAAUGUAUGACACUUGGUUGCCAAAGUCUAAACUAAGAUACUGAGUAACUACGUUUUGUGUAAGAUGAGCGUAUCAGUUUUCCACAGAAAAUACAUGCUUUAUUGAAGUUGCCUCUUUCCAACCUCUAAGUCUCUGAUGUCUGUUUUCAUGAUGGCUAAAAAUUUUCUGAACUUGUUUCCUUAUAAUAUCUUGUCUAAUGCAGCCAACAGUUUACUACCUUUGCUCUUAAAUUCCCUUUUCCAACCUUUGCAUUCAGUAGGUCAUUUGUUUUGGUAAAUAAAAUCUUAAUAGUAUGCAUCUAUAUCCAUUUGUUUAUAUAUUGUCUCUAGCUAUUUUCCUGCUAUGACAGCAGCAUUGAAUAGUUGCAAUAGAGAACAUAUGGCCCCCAAAACCUAGAAUAUUUACUAUCUGCCCCUUUAUAAAAAAUAUUUGCCAACCCUUGAUCUAGAGCCAAAAGCUUAUUAUAUGCAAGUGCUUUACCAAAUUUCUGCUACUACAUAACAAAAAUAGAUCCAAUAGCA
rnacentral:lncRNA from 10 species